rnacentral:rRNA from 1 species
GACGAACGCUGGCGGCGUGCCUAAUACAUGCAAGUAGAACGCUGAAGCUUGGUGCUUGCACCGAGCGGAUGAGUUGCGAACGGGUGAGUAACGCGUAGGUAACCUGCCUGGUAGCGGGGGAUAACUAUUGGAAACGAUAGCUAAUACCGCAUAACAGUAGAUAUCGCAUGAUAGCUACUUGAAAGGUGCAAAUGCACCACUACCAGAUGGACCUGCGUUGUAUUAGCUAGUUGGUGAGGUAACGGCUCACCAAGGCAACGAUACAUAGCCGACCUGAGAGGGGGAUCGGCCACACUGGGACUGAGACACGGCCCAGACUCCUACGGGAGGCAGCAGUAGGGAAUCUUCGGCAAUGGACGGAAGGCUGACCGAGCAACGCCGCGUGAGUGAAGAAGGGUUUCGGAUCGUAAAGCUCUGUUGUAAGAGAAGAACGAGUGUGAGAGUGGAAAGUUCACACUGUGACGGUAUCUUACCAGAAAGGGACGGCUAACUACGUG